AGCGAACGCUAGCGGCGGGCCUAACACAUGCAAGUCGAGCGGGGGGAGCAAUCCCCAGCGGCGGACGGGUGAGUAACACGUAGGUUAUGUGCCCUUUGGUGGGGGAAUAACCGUGGGGAACCAUGGCUAAUUCCGCAUAUCGAGCGAAAUCUUGAAAGCCUUCGGGCGCCAAAGGAGCAACCUGCGGCCCAUUAGCUUGUUGGUAGGGUAACGGCCUACCAAGGCGAUGAUGGGUAGCUGGUCUGAGAGGAUGAUCAGCCACACUGGAACUGAGACACGGCCCAGACUCCUACGGGAGGCAGCAGUGGGGAAUAUUGCGCAAUGGGCGAAAGCCUGACGCAGCCACGCCGCGUGAGUGAUGAAGGCCUUCGGGUCGUAAAACUCUGUCGGGAGGGACGAAGGGGCAACCCUGACGGUACCUCGCAAGAAAGCACCGGCUAACUCUGUGCCAGCAGCCGC
rnacentral:rRNA from 1 species